rnacentral:piRNA from 1 species
CCUGCUGUUUGAACCACAGGAAUGGGUAUC